rnacentral:rRNA from 1 species
AUUGAACGCUGGCGGCAGGCCUAACACAGGCAAGUCGAGCGGAAGAAGGGCGCUUGCUCCGGGAUUCAGGGUCUGACGGGUGAGUAAUGCCUAAGAAUUUACCUCGUAGUGUGUGAUAACGUCCGGAAACGGGCGCUAAUACCGCAUACGCCCUGAGAGUGAAAUUGGGUGAGCUUCGGACCUCACGCGAUCAGAUGAGCCUAGGUCGGAUUAGCUAGUUGGUGGGGUAAAGGCCUACCAAGGCGACGAUCCGUAACUGGUCUGAGAGGAUGAUCAGUCACACUGGAACUGAGACACGGUCCAGACUCCUACGGGAGGCAGCAGUCGGGAAUACUGGACUACGGGCGAAAGCCUGAUCCAGCCAUGCCGCGUGUGUGCAGAAGGUCUUGGGAUUGUAAAGAACUUUAAGUUGGGAGGAAGGGCCGUAAGUUAAUACCUUGCUAUAGUGACGUUACCAACAGAAUAAGAACCGGCUAACUUCGUG